rnacentral:rRNA from 1 species
UGGGGAAUAUUGCGCAAUGGGCGAAAGCCUGACGCAGCAACGCCGUGUGAGGGAUGAAGGCUUUCGGGUCGUAAACCUCUGUCAGAAGGGAAGAACGGGUAAUGGUCUAAUAGGCCGUUAUUUUGACGGUACCUUCAGAGGAAGCACCGGCUAACUCCGUGCCAGCAGCCGCGGUAAUACGGAGGGUGCAAGCGUUAUUCGGAAUUACUGGGCGUAAAGCGCACGUAGGCCGCUUUGUAAGUCAGGGGUGAAAUCCCACGGCUCAACCGUGGAACUGCCCUUGAAACUGCAGAGCUCGAAUCCUGGAGAGGGUGGCGGAAUUCCUGGUGUAGGAGUGAAAUCCGUAGAUAUCAGGAGGAACACCGGUGGCGAAGGCGGCCACCUGGACAGGUAUUGACGCUGAGGUGCGAAAGUGUGGGGAGCAAACA